GUCGAGCGAGAAAGGGUAGCAAUACCUGAGUAAAGCGGCGCACGGGUGAGUAACACGUGGAUAACCUGCCUCGAAGUGGGGGAUAACACCGGGAAACCGGUGCUAAUACCGCAUACCCUGAUGAGAUCUGCGGAUUUUGUCAGUAAAGGAGCAAUUCGCUUUGAGAGGGGUCCGCGGCUGAUUAGCUAGUUGGUGAGGUAAUGGCUCACCAAGGCAUCGAUCAGUAGCCGGUCUGAGAGGACGGUCGGCCACACUGGAACUGAGACACGGUCCAGACUCCUACGGGAGGCAGCAGUGGGGAAUUUUUGGCAAUGGGGGAAACCCUGACCAAGCAACGCCGCGUGGAUGAUGAAGUAUCUUGGUACGUAAAAUCCUUUCGACGGGGACGAAGCCGCAAGGUUGACGGUACCCGUAGAAGAAGCCCCGGCUAACUCCGUGCCAGCAGCCGCGGUAAUACGGGGGGGGCAAGCGUUGUUCGGAAUUACUGGGCGUAAAGGGCGCGUAGGCGGCUCGCUAAGUCGGAUGUGAAAACUCUGGGCUCAAUCCAGAGCCUGCAUUCGAAACUGACGAGCUCGAGUUCUGGAGGGGAAAGCGGAAUUCCUGGUGUAGCGGUGAAAUGCGUAGAUAUCAGGAGGAACACCGGUGGCGAAGGCGGCUUUCUGGACAGAAACUGACGCUGAUGCGCGAAAGCUAGGGGAGCAAAC
rnacentral:rRNA from 1 species